rnacentral:lncRNA from 1 species
AGAAGCAGGAGGAGAUGAGUCAAAGAGCUGGAGCCGGACAACGCAAGUCAAGCGGUAACGUGUAAGGAGAGACCUCGACGUGGGUGUAACCACUGUUCAACGUGACACGGAACGAAUGCAGGACAAUCGAAACGGAAAUCGACUUGGAUCUUAUUGAAACAUGACCUUCGAUAUACCUAAGUGAAACGAAAUGGCAUUUGUCGGUGUGCGCAAGCCGCCCGGGAAAGGAGAGGAGAAUGAACGAAC